rnacentral:misc_RNA from 1 species
GCAAACUUGGUCAUUUAGAGGAAGUAAAAGUCGUAACAAGGUUUCCGUAGGUGAACCUGCGGAAGGAUCAUUAACGAGUAACUGAAACAGGUUGUAGCUGCCCUCUAGACAGAGGUAAUGUGCACGCCUGGCUCAUCCACUCUUCUCAACCUCUGUGCACUUGUUGUAGGUCGGCGAAAAGGCAGAUCUCUAGAGAUUUGCUUGAAAGCCUUCCUAUGUUUUUACUACAAACGCUUCAGUUUAAGAAUGUAUCUCUGCGCGAUGACGCAUUUAUAUACAACUUUCAGCAACGGAUCUCUUGGCUCUCGCAUCGAUGAAGAACGCAGC